CUGGACACAUGGACAGCAGACUGGAUGAGCUUUGCAAUGACAUUGCAAUGAAAAAGAAAUUGGAAGAAGAGGAAGCUGAAGUAAAGAGGAAGGCUACAGAUGCUGCAUAUCAGGCUCGUCAAGCAGUAAAAACACCCCCCCGGAGGUUACCCACUGUGAUGGUUCGCUCUCCUAUAGAUUCUGCCUCCCCAGGAGGUGAUUAUCCACUUGGGGACUUGGCUCCAACCACUAUGGAAGAGGCUACCUCUGGGGUCAAUGAGAGUGAAAUGGCUGUGGCUUCUGGCCACCUGAACAGUACAGGUGUCCUCCUGGAGGUAGGCGGGGUCCUUCCCAUGAUACAUGGUGGGGAGAUACAGCAAACACCCAAUACUGUUGCAGCCUCCCCUGCUGCGUCAGGUAAGUUACCACUUUUCCUUUAUCAACCUCAAAGGUGUUGAACUUGACAUUGACUGACCUCAGUUUCACUGUUACUAAGCAGUUGUCAGUCCUAGAUUUAAAGCCCAACUUUUUCUAACUUUUUUUUGGAGCUACUUUACCUGGUAAACAAUGUAGUCUCCAUAUUAUAAAGCCAUCUAUCUUCAAGAUAGUGAUAGCCGUGAUUGACCACAGCAUGGAUAUUGAGAGUAAUAUUGAGCUGCUUUCUUAGGGCUUGCAAAAUCAAGGUGCUAGAGAUCCCUAAGAUUAUAG
rnacentral:sRNA from 1 species